UCUGCCCCUAGAGACAGUGCAGAUGUGACAGCUGGGUCACAUGGACAUCAAUAGGUGGCAAGAAGGAGAGCUACAUCUAUGCUUAGUAUUCUGACAUGUAAACAUCUGAGUGUUUAGUAGCCUAACAUU